AUCCCUAACCUUUCACUUUCAUUUUUCACAGAAAGAUUAUAGAAUGCUUUGGGGAAUGAAUCCAAAUUACUUUGGUCUAUGCAAGUUUCCAACGCAAAGCCUGUUCCAGGAGCACAUCAAGAAAUGACAGUCACCGCGUGACCAGUCCAAGAGAAAACAAAGACAGAGCCUCCUCUCAUCCCUCUGUGGUCUGCAGUACAUUCCAUGGCAGUCUAAAGGCUGGUCCAAGUUUAAUACCCACUGGAUGUAUUAUCUUGUCAGUACAUUUCAGCCCUUCAAGCUCAAGUUUUAUUUUAUUGCUUGUAUUUGGAUACAAUAAGAACGCUGCUUUUUCUUCUGUAUUAAACA
rnacentral:lncRNA from 1 species